AUGGCUCAGGAUGAACGCUGGCGGCGUGCCUAAUACAUGCAAGUCGAACGAGGUAGCAAUACCGAGUGGCGAACGGGUGAGUAACACGUAGGUAACCUGCCCUUAAGCUUGGGAUACCCAGAGGAAACUUUGGCUAAUACCGGAUAACAACAGAGAAGGCAUCUUCUUUGCUUGAAAGGCCCCUUCAAGGGUCACUUAAGGAUGGACCUGCGGCGCAUUAGCUAGUUGGUGAGAUAACAGCCCACCAAGGCGAGGAUGCGUAGCCGAACUGAGAGGUUGAUCGGCCACAUUGGAACUGAGACACGGUCCAAACUCCUACGGGAGGCAGCAGUAAGGAGUUUUCGGCAAUGGGGGAAACCCUGACCGAGCAACGCCGCGUGAGCGAUGACGGUCCUUUGGAAUUGUAAAGCUCUGUUGUAAGCCAUGAAUGACAGCUUGAGGAAAUGCAAGUUGUUUGACGACAGCUUACCAGAAAGCCACGGCUAACUACGUGCCAGCCGCCGC
rnacentral:rRNA from 1 species